AGGCAGCAGUAAGGAAUAUUGGACAAUGGUCGGAAGACUGAUCCAGCCAUGCCGCGUGCGGGAAGAAGGCCUUCGGGUUGUAAACCGCUUUUGUCAGGGAAGAAACGCUCUGGGCUAAUACCCUGGGGUAAUGACGGUACCUGAAGAAUAAGCACCGGCUAACUACGUGCCAGCAGCCGCGGUAAUACGUAGGGUGCAAGCGUUAAUCGGAAUUACUGGGCGUAAAGCGUGCGCAGGCGGUCUUGCAAGACAGAUGUGAAAUCCCCGGGCUCAACCUGGGAACUGCAUUUGUGACUGCAAGGCUAGAGUACGGUAGAGGGGGAUGGAAUUCCGCGUGUAGCAGUGAAAUGCGUAGAUAUGCGGAGGAACACCGAUGGCGAAGGCAAUCCCCUGGACCUGUACUGACGCUCAUGCACGAAAGCGUGGGGAGCAAACAGGAUUAGAUACCCUGGUAG
rnacentral:rRNA from 1 species